CAACCAGAUUCUCGAAAUGAUCUUCGCCGAUAACGUUUCUAGCAAAAAUUACCUAGCAACAAUCGUUUCAUCGUUGAUAUUACGGAUUUCGAUGGAAAGAAUGUGCUCUGCCUUCGGUGAAAUAUUGUUGUUAGAAAGACUUGUCAAUGUUAAUAGCCAACGUAAUUAGCGCGCUUCGAUGCGACGUUCACGUCGAAAUACACGAGUGAAUCGGUAAAAAUUACGAAUACGUGAUCAUAUCGAAAGAUGGCGCAGAAGUUGUCAAACGGAUUUAACAAUGAUUUAGUAACGCCUAAUUAGACAAAGCGGAAGUCGUGAGUUUCAAUUCUUUGGAUAAUUAAUAAUCCCUCGUCUCGCGACUGAUCGGUAUUUCCUAUAUUCCUGAUUAAAAAUGAUCCUGAAUUACGAUGAAUCCCGAUUUAAUCUGAACUCUAAUCAAUUCUGAUCCGAACUGGGACAGAGGAAGAGUAACCCUCGGCAUCCUAACGAUGAAAAACUACCUGUAAGACUAUAGUUUAACGUCAACUGUCAACGUCUCCUAUCUAUUAUCGUUAACAGUGUACAACGACGCACUAACUGUACCCUAAGGAAUCUAUGUUACCUGUCAACAUUCGAAACGGUGCGUGUCGCGCUAAAAGCAUGCCCGCAAGGAAAACAGACACGAACGGGGCGCGUUUAAACGUCUAAAACCUCUCGCGCGCGGUUACUAUUUAAAACUUCAGUUCCGAAGGUUCUUAUAAAAAGGGGACGUACGUCGUGCCAUCUUGUCCGCCGUCCGCCAUUGGAACGCGUUUACGCGUGUCGGCAUGGAAACGGCGAGGCUCGUUCUUUUGAUCAAUGUUCCGCGCCGAUCGCGUGUGUCGGUUGCUUUGAUUGCGUACUUAAUUAGUAAGUGACAGGUACGGUAAAUUACGCGCGGAUCAAAUCGUUGCCCAAAGAUUUUACAUUCCCGGGCCUGCGCGACGACGAACGACUCGCGGUCCUCGAAACGAUUCAGCAGAUUGCGGAUCAUUGUUUAAUUAUAGAUCUAUAUAGAGCAGUUUAUAGAAAUUUUCUUUGUUCGGAAGUUUCUCUUACCGAACGUUUUGCUAUUUCGAAGAAAAGAGAAAUCUGGGAUUGCAUUUGAAGUGUCUGCGCGAGUCUAAUUCGAUGAUUCGAAGAGACAGAGAAAAUAGAGAUGCGAGAUUGCAUUUGAAGUCUUGGAUGCUCUUCGAAGUGUUUGAUUUGGUAAUUAGAAGAGAGAAAGGGGAUCGAGAAGGCUUUGGAGCCAUAAAAUCCGCAGUCUACAGAUAACGGACGAGGCGAGUCGUUCACUGCGAUCGAACCUGUUCUCGCGUGACACCGAUCGUUCCCUGCCGCAACGCCGUGACAAAUCGACGUCGCGCGAAUCAACCGCGACAGAAACUAAAGAAUGCAGGAAGUGCUAGCGCGCGUUGGUACACGGUAAUUUUAGAAAUCGGUGCGAAAGACGGUAUACCGUGAAACAUUAGGAAAGAGAUGAGAUUUGAAUAUUUUGAUUGGAAGUAAAAAGUUCAGUAGUCUUUUCUUUUGUUCGUAAAAAUCUAUGUACAGAAUGUGAAAAGAACAGAGAAGCUACCUUUCCGUAUCGUUAAUCUUGUAAAGAGACGUUGUUAUAAUAAAUGUUCGAUCUUUUACACUUGUUACUACUAGUGCCAAGCCCAUCUACUUUAA